GCCGGCAUAGCUCAGUUGGUAGAGCAACGGUUUUGUAAACCGAAGGUCGGGGGUUCGAGUCCCUCUGCCGGCA
rnacentral:tRNA from 1 species